GACGAACGCUGGCGGCGUGCCUAAUACAUGCAAGUCGAACGAGAGCAACCGGUGCUUGCACUGUUCAAUCUAGUGGCGAACGGGUGAGUAACACGUGGGUAACCUGCCCAUCAGAGGGGGAUAACAUCCGGAAACGGGUGCUAAAACCGCAUAGGUCUUCGAACCGCAUGGUUUGAAGAGGAAAAGAGGCACAAGCUUCUGCUGAUGGAUGGACCCGCGGUGCAUUAGCUAGUUGGUGAGGUAACGGCUCACCAAGGCCGUGAUGCAUAGCCGACCUGAGAGGGUGAUCGGCCACAUUGGGACUGAGACACGGCCAAAACUCCUACGGGAGGCAGCAGUAGGGAAUCUUCCGCAAUAGACGCAAGUCUGACGGAGCAACGCCGCGUGAGUGAAGAAGGUUUUCGGAUCGUAAAACUCUGUUGUUAGAGAAGAACAAGUGCUAGAGUAACUGUUAGCGCCUUGACGGUAACUAACCAGAAAGCCACGGCUAACUACGUG
rnacentral:rRNA from 1 species